rnacentral:rRNA from 1 species
UACGUAGGGUGCGAGCGUUAAUCGGAAUUACUGGGCGUAAAGCGUGCGCAGGCGGUUUUGUAAGCCAGAUGUGAAAUCCCCGGGCUUAACCUGGGAACGGCAUUUGGGACUGCAAGGCUUGAGUGCGGCAGAGGAGACUGGAAUUCCUGGUGUAGCAGUGAAAUGCGUAGAUAUCAGGAGGAACACCGAUGGCGAAGGCAGGUCUCUGGGCUGACACUGACGCUCAUGCACGAAAGCGUGGGGAGCAAACAGG